UCUGCCACAUUCUUGCACGCCAAUACGACAUGGAUGCUGCGGCUCUGUUCCACGAGCGCCAGGCGGAUGUUGCCGCCUUUACGGCCCUUGUGUUUCGUCGGCCGACAUCCGCAGAACGCAAGCCGCGUCCGACGUCGGCCUCCGUUUCAUCGGCGACACACACCGCUACGAGUGAGGCAGAAGCCGUCACCUCUUCUCCUCCUAUGAUACGCGUGGCCGCGGUGACACCCGCGUACCGCCGCCCUGCCUCCGCGAAUGUGCCGGUGUCACGCGUCCUUCAAGAGAUCAAGGCACGGGCAGAACGAGAGCAGCGGAUGGCACGCAAAACGAAAAAGAUGGCCAAGAGCGAUGCCGACGACCUUGCCGGUGACCUUCCACAUUUAGCCACGAGCGGCAGCCGUAGCGGUGCCCCGCUAGGAGCCAUGGGCUUCUCCGCGCAGGAGAUUCGCGACCGCACCUACCUCUGGAUGACGGAGCUGGGAUCGCAUUGCAGCUCUGCCGACGACGUCUCGCGGCGCGCCGCCAAGAAAAGUGCCGCCCUCACUCCCCAGCAGCAAGCCCAGCUACGCCGACUGCGCAUCAAGCGAACCCGUCAACGCCUCUUGUCACACGCGCAGUGGGCCCUCUGGCUGCGUCGUCGGCGUCGGCUGUGGCACCGCCGGCGGCCGGUGGCUCGACGGCGGCACCUCGCUCGGCAGCUAGCACUCGAGUACGGGCGGCCGAUUGGGCUCUGCCGCUGCUGCAGGAGUCGAAGACACCCGCCCAAGGCCUCAACUCCGGCGCGCAAAGCACGCCCGCCUCUCAUCAAGGCUGCCCGCAAGGUGGUGACCCAGUGGCUUCCAUCGCACUCGCGGCUGGUGAAGCGCUUCCACUACCGUAUUGUUUUUCUUGCCGUCCAACCCGGCGUCACGCACGUAUCGCUGACGACAGCGACAUCAUCGAUCCCCUCGCACCAUGGCGGUGAUGCAGCGCUCAGCUCCACCGCGCCAUGUGAAACGCGACGGGCAAGGCGUCUGCGCCUCUGUGCAUCAUGCGUGACUCGGGUCGCCAUACCGUGUGAGCCCGCGCGAAAGGAUCAUCGAUUUUUGCAGCGUUGGGCGACCGCGCUCGCGGUGCACCAUCGCCGGCGGCUCUUCUGCAGCCCCACUGCAGGGAAUGCCCACCCAUCACACUCGCAUGCAUCGCUGACUGCGUCUGCCCCAGCCGCAACUAUGCUGGCGGACCUUUCACAUCACUGCGUGUACGUGCUGACGCCGCGGAAGAAGUGGCCACUCAGUGGUGGAGUAUGCACUUCACCUAAUUUACCGCAUGAAGCUGCGUCUGCUGUCUCAUCUGCGCUGACCAGCCUUCUUGCAGUACUCGGACUGCAUCCUGAUGUGGAGGGCGUGGGUGCCGCACCUUCGGGGGUGGUCUUUGCGCUUUCUCCGACGGCGCGCCAUCAGCGCACACGACGAACUUGUGCAACCGUCGUGCAUGGACACAUGUGGUGUGCAGGUGCUGCAUGCCUUGAGAAUGCCGCCUUGAAGGCAGCCGACCAGCGCCGCGACUCUGUCAGCACUCUCUCUCGUCACACGCGUGUGGUGCCAGUGGUGCUGGUUGCUUCACUUCGCGCCAGAGCCGCAGUCGCUUCCAUGGAGGUGCUUCUCUUCAGUGAAGGCCCGGUGCACUUCACUAGCCGCGCUAUGACACAAUUGCGAAUUCAGCUUGUCUCAUCCUGGAACCCGUGCACGCUGAGCUCGGCACGCGCCUCUGCAUUUGAGUACUGGCGUUGCGACCCCUGCGCACCCUCUUCCCAGUCGGAGCCGGAGGCGCUCUCAACGCUCCAGGGUGCUCUCCAGCGCUGCGCCCGUGUCUACCGGCGGCUGCAGUUGCGUUCAUUUCGCCCCCGCUGUAACCCCCGCGCUCGCCGGGGAAAAUCGUCCGCGUCUCAACCCCGAAAAAACGCGCCAAGAAUCGGUGCGACGGUUGCAGGGCCAAGGACUGCUGCGCAUGGCCCUCAGCGGGCUUCGUCGCGCCUCUCCCUCGUGGCCUUUCCCAGCUUCUCCUCUCCGUUUCUGUCAGAUUCGCACCGCAACGGGUCCGGGGAAGGAAGGGCGGCCCCGUACGCGUGGCGCCUUGCGCUUCUCUACCGCGUUCCUGAGAGCAGGAGACGUGCCGCGUGCACCCGCAUCCGUGACGCCGCCGCUAGGUCUGCCGCAUCCCUAGGCGUGGAGCGUGCCGUGGCCACCCCUUCGCCUCGACGUAGGUGCCUACUGUCGUGGCAGGCGCGUCGCGCUCACUUCCAGCUGGCUCGGCGCUUCUUCGGGUUUCUUCUCAUGGCUCCACCGCGGACUGAAACAACGCUUAGCGGUGCCGCCGCACGCGGGCGGUGCCGUGCGCUUGGCUUCCAGGAUCGCGUCACCCUCCUUCACUUGCUAGGCCGUCCUGCCUACCCUCUGGACUACGGGCUGUCCCGCCCUUCAGCAGCGGCGCAGCAGCGGCGGCAGCAGCGAAGCCGACCCACACCAAAAAAGGGCCGGGUUGUGCGGCAUGGCACAAAACGCAGUCGCACGCCAACGGACGGCACGUCUGCCGCUGCGGCGCUGGUGUGUGCGCGACUUCCCUCGUACCUGCACAUACUGAAAUACUAUGGGAAUGUCUCGAAUGCGGCGUGUCGUGUCUUUGUGCGGGCGGCACACACAGAUCACAAGCUCCCCACCCUGCACUGCAGCGUGGGGACGGUCCUGCUGCAGUACCGGUGGUUGCAGCGCAGAGGACGCGGCGCGUUGUGCAUACCGGGUGUGGCACGCAUCGGCGUUGUGACAUCAUCUGCCUUCUUCGCACAGCGAUUCGGGUGCAUGGUAGCACCUGUGUGGUGCUGCUUUCCGCCAACGACGAGCGGGACUGGCGGUGGCCCCAUUCUUGCGGCUCUCGACAACGAGGAAGAACAUGCGCUACCCGUGGCGGCGCACGGCGUCCACUGGACUGCCGCCUCUCUGGUCGGUGACACCGCUUCUGCUUCUGACGCACUCACCUACCUGCUCGCCCCUCCUGAGGUAGCGGAUGAUCUUCUUCGCCGCAGCGCAUUGCUCCAGCGAGACGAGCUGCCGCGAAAGCGAGCCCACAGUCGCCAUCAGCGCGUGUUUGACCUUGGGCAAGGACGUGCCAUGCGGGAGCUCGAGACGCUGCUUUACGAUCCGCUGUCGUGCUCGCCGGUACAACUCAUACAGUGGUACGCGUGACGUGGGCCGCGGAGUGGCUUCCACGCGUGCAGGGUGUGAGGCAACGCUUAAGCAUGCGCGCAUACGUACGCACAUGCCCGUGCACCUGCCGUUUGUGUAAAGAACCCAUGACGUUCCGGAGACCCCUCUCCCUCCCUCGACGGUGAAAGCCCGUUGCACGCCGAGGAGGCUCCUGCGCAGGUUUAGCGCAGAGGCGCAGACGCAGCGGAUGAGGAGCAGAAUGCGUGUCGACAUGGUGGUUUCCGUUCUCCACCGCCGACGUGAUCGAUUUAUCUGGAGUUCGCCAGCGUCUGUUGUGCACUGUGCCCACUACACGGCGAUAGCUUCAC
rnacentral:misc_RNA from 1 species